UACGUAGGGUGCAGGCGUUAAUCGGAAUUACUGGGCGUAAAGCGUGCGCAGGCGGUCUUUUAAGUCAGAUGUGAAAGCCCUGGGCUCAACCUGGGAAUUGCAUUGGAUACUGGCAGGCUAGAGUGCGGUAGAGGAUGGCGGAAUUCCCGGUGUAGCAGUGAAAUGCGUAGAGAUCGGGAGGAACAUCUGUGGCGAAGGCGGCCAUCUGGACCAGCACUGACACUGAGGCACGAAAGCGUGGGGAGCAAACAGG
rnacentral:rRNA from 1 species